UUUGCUCUAACUUUUCCAGCAUCUCUAGACUCCUUCUCUGUAAAAAAAUCCCCAAAACGAAUCGAGACAACUAUUGAAAGAGGCGAAAUUUCUAUAGCAACUUCCGAUAAUCAACAGCUUGAUCAUCUCCGGAAUCAUGUCUCCCUGAAUUCCGAGUGUUGAACGAAGCAGUCCAAGAUCACUACUGAAUUAUCCGUGUACUCAACAAAACAAUAUGAGUGAGGCAGAGGAUAGGAUUAGCAACUUGCCAGCCUCAAUUCUUCAUCAUAUCCUCUCUUUUGUUGAUACUCGUGUUGCUGCUCAAACUAUUGUAUCAUCUAAACGAUGGAAAUACAUAUGGAGGUCUAUUCCUACCCUUCAUUUUGGGUUCGAGGAGGGUUCCUCGCAGGUCAAUAAAUUCAUGGAUUUUGUGGAUACAACGUUGGAGCUUCACGAUGAGUCAAACAUAGAGGAAUUCUUUCUCGACUCGGAUGUCCACUUGAGCGAACCUCAAAUUAACAAGUGGAUCUCUAUAGCAAUAAGUCACAGAGUUGAAACACUUGCUCUCAGAUUGAACCAAGAAAACCCAAUUUCGAUGCCAUCGUCUCUUUAUACUUGUGAGUCAUUAACUCAUUUGAGGCUAGAUUCAUGCCCUCAAAUGUAUCCGUUUUCCUGAAUGUAUAUCUUUUCCACGAUUAAGAAAACUUAUGCUUAUUGGGGUGGAAUUUGGAGAUGAGUGCUGUAAUGAGCAACUCUUUUCCAAUUGCCCAGUACUAGUGUUUUUGUGUAUGGGAAGCUGCACCUGGUCUGAUAUGAAGAAUUUUUGUAUUUCAAAUCCUGCACUGAAAUGCUUAUUAAGACGGUUUUCAGAACUGUGCUCUCAAAAUUCAUGCACCAAGUCUGCAGACUCUCACCUACCAAGGUAGGGCAGCAAAGGAUUAUGCUCUGUCUAGCAUCCCAAAACUAGUUGAAGUACACCUUGACUUUUUCUUUGAAGAAUUUGGUGCAGUGACUGAUUAUGGUGCAGUUGUAAGUAAGUUUCUUCAAGCAAUUACACAUGUUGUGUAUCUGAAAAUUUCUGACCGAACCCUACAGGUACUCUCUGUUGCAGACGAUUUAUUGAAGACUUUACCUUCAUAUCAUAAUUUGAACCGGUUGCAUCUGACUCAGAAAGUAACCGCUGAUAAAGCACUAAUUGGUUUGCUCGAAAAAGCACCUAAUCUAGUGUCACUCGAAUUUGAAGGGUUUGUUUCGGCUUUCCCCAGCGAAGAAGAAGACAACGAUGACAGUUCAGGUGAUGAUGGGGUUGAAGACAACCACUACCAUGACGCUGCUGAGGGUGAAGAUAACAAUAUCAAUGAAGAUGAUGGUUGGGCAAUUGGAAUGGUGUCUACCAGAUGUUCUUUUCUACAACAUCUGAAGUUAGCUAGCUUCAACAAAUUUACUGGCAACUCAAGGUAGAUGAGAUGGUUGAAACUAGUUUUGAAUAAUGCAAAAGCUAUGCAAGCAUUGGAUGUUUCUUUUGAGUCGGCUUCACAUGGGAAAAGCAAAAAGCUAAUAGCAAAUAUUUCAAGUCUUCCAAGAGCUUCGGCGAGUUGUGUGCUCAAAUUCUUCUAGAAGGUCUUGUUUUCACAAGGCAUUGGUAUUUCAAACCUUAGAAUCAGCUUUAUUUCGAUAAUGGGUUAUUGUGCAUGUUGUGCUCCCAUGAAUUGAUCUACAUCAAAACUAAUGCUAAUAUUCAAUUUGAAUGGUAUACAUUCUA